rnacentral:rRNA from 1 species
GAGCAGUGAGGAAUAUUGGUCAAUGGCCUAACGGCUGAACCAGCAACUUGGAGGAAUGUACAGGGAAAGCUGGUAAAAUGCAAUGUACCUGGUAAUAUUAGUAAUUAAUAUGAGAUUAACUUAGUUAAUUAAAAUUCAAAGUAGAUAUAUGAUUAUGACAAUAUUUGCUUAUUUCUUGACCAAUUCACGUGCCAGCAGUCGCGGUAAUACGUGUAAGAUUAGUGUUAUUCAUAUUUAACAGGUUUAAAGGGUACCUAGACGGUUAAUUAAGCUUUAAAAAGUACUAAUUAACUAGAGUUUAAUGUAAGAAUGAUUGAGUACGGUGAGUUUAGAGAUAAAAUUCUAUGAUACCACUUAGGAACUGGUAAAGGCAAAGGCAACUUUCUAUGUAAAAACUGACGUUGAAGGACGAAGGA